UUAUAAAACUUUGAGUUUAGUUGAGAGUAUUUUGUGAGUCACAAUGAACAUAAAGUAAAAAGUUAGAAUUAACACUAAGGUGUCGUAUCAGGACCAAUGCAUGGAGUAAGCAAAAGGCACUUUGUAGUCAUAGUACAUCUCUGGUAUUGCAAUUGAAUAGAAGCUCCAAUGUAUACAUUUUUGUUAUACUUAAAUAAAGAUUUGAGUACCCUUUUAUUUUA